UACGUAGGGUGCAAGCGUUGUCCGGAAUUAUUGGGCGUAAAGAGCUCGUAGGCGGUCUGUCGCGUCUGCUGUGAAAACUCGGGGCUUAACCCCGGGCCUGCAGUGGGUACGGGCAGACUAGAGUGCGGUAGGGGAGACUGGAAUUCCUGGUGUAGCGGUGAAAUGCGCAGAUAUCAGGAGGAACACCGGUGGCGAAGGCGGGUCUCUGGGCCGACAUUGACGCUGAGGAGCGAAAGCCAGGGGAGCAAACGGGG
rnacentral:rRNA from 1 species